AGGAAACGCGCGGGUGCGUGAUGGAUGCUGCUGUCCGGCCCCUGGGCUGGGGGAGGGAGCAGGAGCUUUGGACCCCAGCCCCCCAGCUUUGGUUCCCGCUGGGAAUUCAGGCCCUGUCAGGCUGUAGGUCCUCUCGGGAGCCCUCUGCCUGCCCUACUGCUGGCCUAGGCCUCGGGCUGUCUGGCGGCCGCGACUCAGCGCUGACCUCGGGCGCAACCCAGUCAGGCUUCGUGUCCUUCAGGGGUUCUAGGCUAACAGGCGAAAGGAAGGGCGUUGGGACCGAGGGGCAUCCUGGUUUUUAUGUACGCCACUGAGAGGCCACCAGACACAUUUUCUCAACCGCAGAUCCCCCUUCCCCACACCCUGCUCCUUGCGUGUCAGCCUGAGAGCCCUUGCUUUGAGAAGCUUGGCAGAAGCUGCAAAGGGUGGGCGGGCAGCUAAGAGAAAUCGACCCAAGGAUGUAAAUCGAGGCCAUUCCAUUAUAACUGGAUGGACACUUUUCAUUUUUUCCUUCUUUCAGAGACAAUCUGUUUCGUGUUUUCCUAAGAAAAAUUGGAACCUUCGUAAUAGCAUCUAAUUUGACGGGGGUUGUCGAUGUGAGAGCUAAAUAUGCCCGCAUUUACUAGGUGCGAUUGUGAGAGAGAAGGUGGCCCAAGGAUGGGAAUGGAUAGAAGCAACACCUCCACAGAACCGAGCUUUGAAAACAAUAACUUCCUAUUUCAGAACUAUCCCCAAACAAAAACAAGCUAAGGGUAGAAUAAACACCUUGCCGGGUCUGAUCGCUGAUGGGUCUUUUCCAGCUAAGAAUUUCAUGUUUUCUCUUUUAGAUCCUGCUUUCUCAGGCAGUAUCUGAGGCUAGAGUUAUAUUUGCAGGACAGUCUAUAAUUUCUGAAUUGCUGAAAAUUAGCGUAUUAACGAUAUCAGAAGCUCCGGAAAGGAGGGAGAGGAGACUGUUGCCUGCUAUUUGGUAAUUGAAAUUUGAUGGGUACACUAAUUACGCCAUUAUUAACAAAUAAAUUACUUAUUAAUUCCACCUAAUGUUGAUCUUUGAAGUAAAUACUGAUGCCUUAUUUGUGCUGUGUGCUUUCUCCCUUUCUUUUCUGAGUAGUAGACAUAUCUAGAUCCUCUACUUUUCAGCCUAAAUUAAAGCAGUGUAAACUAGCAUAGUCACCAUUCUAAAAAUAUUUUCAUAUUGGCAUGCAAAAGCAAGGAUUUUUCAGCUGGUGCACCUUAGUUGAUUUUUCAAAGAGCAGUAUAAACAGCCUUCUCACAACUGAGUCUGGAACGCAGACAAGGAAAAUUAUUUCCUAAGCCUGGAGACACUUGAAAAGGAAUGUCAAUUCUAUCUUCAUUCAUACUGGUUACUCAUAUGAGUUACUAAAUGCUGGAAUAUAUCCAUUUGAUGGAUAGUCACUUAAUGCUUAGCCACAUAAAGCCUAUUAUAUGGGACUAAUCUUUAAACUAAUUUAGGAAAAGAGGUUAAAAAGGGGAUCAUAUUAGCUUUCUAACUGGAAUCACCCUGAAGAGGUACAAAGAGAUUUUCCACGUUAGGUGUAUAUGAGUGUGAAGAGUGCUGUCCAUUCACAUGAGGCACCCUGAAAAUUUGUUUUUAAAGAAAUUUGAGCCACAGACAGAAAUCAACACUGAGUGUAAUCUUUAGCCAUCCUCUCUAGACUGGAGGAAAAAUUUAGAAUGUGAUACAUCUACCUGAACCAAUAUCUCUCCCUAGCAAGAAAAAAUAAUAUACACAUAGGUUAUAUAAAAUGUAAUAUAAAUAAUAUAUAGACAUACGUAUUACAAAUCUGAACCCUAUAAGUUUCAGGGGGACAAAAAGCAUGACAAGGAAAUCUUCCCUCCUUCUCAUGUCAUCAGCCUUGAGUACUAGGGUCUUAACCAUAUCUGUUUAAUAUUUACAGACACUAAAACACAAAAUUCUGUUGUUUAGCCUCAGAACCUUGUACCAAGUUUCUAUUUUUAAGUAUUAACGAGACAUAAACACUGUUUUGUAUACGGUUAACCCAAACGAGUUAGCUGUGCCUGUGUUUUGUGUGAUUCUAUUACUUUAGGAAGAUGGCCUUACACAGAAUCCCCCAAGGCCUGUAACUUGUCUUUGUGGUUCGUAUCAUAAACACAAACGGAGCCAGGACCACCAAGUGUUAUCUCAACACCGACAUUUUGACAUUUUACUGCAAGAUUUAUGGCUGUAAUAAACAAUCUCAGUACCUUUUCUGAACCUUCCUCAAUCUCCCUUUGCAAACCAUAGCAUCAUUCCAUUGAAUCAAAUAAUCUUUUGAAAAACAUUUAAAAAAAAUACCUCUUGCCUUUACACAAUAUCCAAGACACCAAAGUAAAGCCAGGAAGAAACUAACUCAAUUAAUAAACAAACUGAAGUUUACCAGCAGCAUCUCGCCUGAGAAAAGAUGGGAUGCCCUGAAAUGUAGCAGAGAGGGAGCAUGCUAAUCCUCACACACCAACUGGCUCCAGUCCCAAGCGGGGUGAAAGCGUUAUCCUUUCCUUAGGAAACUGGUGAGCACGUUUGCUCAUUUCCACGUGCAGGGAUAACAUAUAUUCCCAACAAAAGCUUUCUUAAAAUCCCAUUAGGUGAAAUAACUUUUCAUCAUGUCCUCGAAUCCCAGAUGGAGAAGAGUGAAGGGAGUCGGAGGGAGAGGGAGGGUGCAAGGGAGGCAAUGUUUUGCAGCUUGGUUUGAAUCUGAUUUGAAUCAUUUUGAAUAUAUUUGUAACAGCAUUCCCUCUUGAAUGCAACCCUGUCCCAAGUUUCAAAGUGACCGAACAGUGACACCGUGUGCAUUUUGUUUCUUAUUAAUCUUACACAUUGACAGUCUUUGUUAAAUCACAAGGCGCGCCCUUCACUAGCCGACAUUUUCAUAUUUGUUAGACGCACUGACCUGAAGUUCACCUCGGCCUUGGACUUUGCGCUUCUAAAAGGUCUAUACAGUGUCUUUUAGAGAGCAGGGUGCUUUGCCCAGGUCACUCCUUCUCAGGAAAAACCAAGGGGAAAAGCCAAAGGAAAUGUAAACGUUAUGGAAUGUAUUGACUGUAUUUGUCCUUUGUUCUUUAGAGCGAGAGUCCCCCAGACUGUUCUCUAUCUGAUGCAUGUCUCUAGAGCUGAACAGUGGAAUGGCAGAAUUUCAAAACGCCUGAUGGUGGCAUUUGAAGGCUUCCCCACCACCUACACUAGACACAAGAUUUGAGAGGAACAACACUUUACCAGCCAUUUGACCAAUUAAUUCUUUGGGGAUAAUUUUCUUGUAGUAGUUUAAAAUAAUGCACACAACGCAGGGAUGAGGACUGAUAUUCAUAUUGGGAUUACACAUGAAUUUUAACUGGGAUUGUUUGAGAGGCCUGAGGUUCAAAAUCCUCCAGAUAAAGCAAGCACACUAAAAGCAAUAAAUUCUGCAAGUACUCUUUUCUUUUACUUUGAAGACUAGCUAAGAGGUAUCUAUGGUUUUUGAAGCUGACAUGUCUAUAAGGUGUGUCACAUGUUUUUAACCAAAAAGCACAAUAAAAAGGUUUUUCCCAAAGAGACACGUAAUUGUCUUGUUGACUCAUCGAGGGGUUUCAGUUUUCCUCAUUUCACUAGCCCAAAUGUGGUGAAAUGUUCACUGCUGCAACAGCAAUCACCACAGUUGUUUCCUUUCUUCUGUUUCAUCUGGCAAACCCCCAUUUGGCUUCAAGCUCUUGGCCAGAGUGAAAACUUUACACAUUGCACAGAAGCACCCUGAUUACUUCCAUGAAGGCAGUGUUUGGAAAAUAUUUACUUUACCACUGAACAUACCUGGCACCAUUAAAUCCAAUCAACCAAAAUAUUGGGAUGAUCUUAAACAUUCCUGCAAGAGUCCACAUUCUGAGUAGAUGAAUUAUUUCCAAAGUUAAAAAAGAAAAACCUAGGGAAAAUAUUUCACUUUUCUCUUCUCUGUUUUCCUAUACUGAUCCCUUGAAGGUCAAUUCAUAGAAAAGGGAAAUAUGUCCUCUGGAAAAUAGAUUCUUACAGCACCAACACUUAAAGCCAUUCUAGAUGCAUGAAAAAUAAAAUAUUGUUUAGCUCUUCAGUUGCAACUCACACAUGAGGCAUGGUUCUAGUCGGCUUCCUUAAUACACUAUUCUCUUUCUUUUCUGCUCUCCCACCCUUCUUCUUAGGUUGCUUUAUCUUCUCCUUGGCUUUUUUUUUUAAUUCCACGUGUAUCAUUAAAAAGUACAUUCUGAAGAAUAGAAAAUAUUCUAUUCUGUCCUGGUGGUCUUACAGAGUAGCCUGUUAUUUGUGGAUUUCACCUUUCUGCAUUCCCUACAGUCUAGUUAUUCACUUAUAGCUUGUAGCAUUUCUCUUACAUUCAAUUGUGGUUUAAUAAUAAACAUUAAAAAAAUUUCCAAACAGGAACAUUUUCAUGGCACCAGUAAGCAUUUUGUCACUGGCAGUGGUGGUGGAAGGGGUGAAGGGAGAAUUCUGUGUCUUUCAGGAGGGUUUCCACUUCCUUCCUUCCCCUUCUCAGAUCUCAGAACGCUUUGCAUUCAGCGGACUGUAGUUUCAGAAAAAGCAUAUUCUGUGUUUGAAAACUGCAAAGAUUAUAUUUUGCAAGAAGUGUCUGUGUUUGCAUUUAUUCUUACACACUUUAGGGGUCAUCAUGUGUACUAAAAAGACAAAAAACCGGCCAAUCAGAAUCCCUCUUUUCAAAUAAAGGAGGUUUCCUGCACCAUUCUGUUGCCUUUGAAGGCAUAAUGAAAUAUUGGAAACUUGUGACAUUAGUUUUUAAAGCUCCACAGAUGAGUUUUUAGCAUUUUUAUUUUGUGACAAACCCACAGACUCCUGGUUCUCCAACACCUAAGGUGUUGAUGUUUCAGUAAUCUAUGCCUAUUUACCUGCUGCUAUUCCCUCAGAAUGGGAGCGAUAAUUCAAGAUGAGAUACAGCAUGUAUUACUCUUGAAAAGAGGAAUUUUCUAUCCUUUCCUCCGUAAUUGAGGUCAUUCAACCACUAGGGUUCACCUGGAGUCCAUACCGUGAUACACGCGUCACUCUGAGCCAUUUUAUCUUUUGUGCUGAUAGUCAAGAUCACAGCUCUAACAUUGACAUCAAACUCUGUCUGGGCAGAUGACUAAGAGCACUGCACAAUGUAAACUUUUGACCCUCAACUUUUUGACCUGCAGUUGUAACGCACUAACCGCAAAGAUACACAAAGCCGAGCCUCUUCUUUCAGGGGGAAGGGGCCCCCCAGCAUCUCAGGAUGCCCUGCUUCUGCCACUGCCAUUUGAAAUUAGAGGGUGAAAUGGAUAUUUUUGUGUGUUUGUGACUGUACUUUUUGUUAAAUCAGCCUAUGACCUCUUCGUUAGCACCUAGGAACUAGAUUAACUUGAAAUCACUCGUGAUUCUAUUUUACAAGGAAAAUUUGGAGCAGAAUGGGAGAACCUUGCAAAAAGUGAAAGAAAAGAGAAGAUGGGGGAAAGCAGGCAAUGGGAGGUGGAGACACUUUUUCCCUUUAUUUAAAACUAAAGACGCAGCCCUAAUUGUUGGGAGAGCUGGCCCAAGCGGGUGAAUUGACUGUGAACUUGUACUAAAGCGUGCUCUGCUGGCGAUUCCUAGGGUGUGCAGAUUUAUCUUCUCUGCAUUUACUUAACCCGGCAGUGAACUGCGCGGGCGUCAUUUGUUAGGCGAUGACAGACUUCACCUCCAGCAAGGGCUGCUUCACAAAAUCGCAAUAAUUAUCUAAUAACCUUCAUAACAAAUAUUAUUAUUGAAAAGACUGGUUUGUGGGGAGGGGACCUGGUGGGAGAACAAAUUUAUUUGUGAACAACAACAAACAAAACAAACCUGGGCAGACCUUCAAGUUCUGGGGCUUAGAAUGGCUGGGGCUGUGGAUCCCCUCCCCUACUUGGGUGGGAGCUUAGGCUGACCCCCUCAGCCCUGCCUGGGAGCCCCGUUUAUAGUUUUGCCAUUGACUAGAAGGAAACUCCUCCUCAGAAACCAAAGGGAGGGAGCCCACAAUGCUCUGCACUCUCCAUGGUGGGCAAGCCAUGGACAGACCCCCAGCCAAGGCAGGGGGGAGGCUGAGAAGGGCAUCUUUUAAGCUAAAAGGAUUGUUUUCCUCUUUAAUUGCCUAUCUUUUAAGAUGUGAUUUGCUUUCCACUCACUAAUUAUUUCGAUAUAAUACUCUCAGAAUCUCAACAAAUGAACAGGACUCUGUUUUUUGGUGGGAAAUUCUGUCUUGCUCUCUCAGAGCCGCCAACAAUGAAGCAGGGGAAAGAGCAGGAGAAAGGGAAUCUUGGCAUAAUGUUGUGAAAUUAGACCAUGGAAACCCUAACAAACCACUAAGUAAGUGUGACCAGAAGCUUCCUGUUGUAUUUAUAGUUCAGAAAUAUUGUCUCUUCAGCUUGUGGGAACAAACGAGCCCCCGCACAUUGCCGCUGAGGAGGAGCACAGACACGCACUUCUGCCACCGGCUGAGGCUGGAUGUCUUCAUAAAGCCCUCAGUGACAGACAUAUUUUUUCUUAGUAAGUUCCUCUGCAAGAACAACCCAAAAGAAUCCACAAAAGAAAUAACUUAUCUACAGAAUGAGCAGAAAACCAGCCAUCCUCUUUAUUAUGCUUCCUAUGAAAAUAGGAAGAAAGAAAAAAAUCUUCCAGUAACACAUAGGUCUGACUGCAUGAUGUAUUUUUAAAGUCAUUUUAAUUCCAUGUGGCCAUGUGGGUUUGCCUGCUCUCUUAAAUUCUACUUAAGUUUUGUGAAGAUUAAAACAGACAGAAAUAAGCAAGCUGACAAUAUUUACAGCCUGUAAUUUUUCUCAUUCCUUGGAAAGAUUCUCUAUGUUCUGUGGUACUGGAUAUGACUUCAACAGGCUUUCUGCUCAUUCCCACACCCCAGGGUGGAAUAUGGCCAUGAAGUAGUGUGGAUAUUUUCUGUGUAAGUAACUCAAAUUAAACUGGCAGAAUCCCCGUCACUCUUUUUUUUUUCUAAUUUCAAUCACCAAGAAAUCACUCAAGCAAGAUCACCAAAUCAGUAACUAAAAUGGAACCAUAACGCAAUAUUUUCCAAUAAGGAGCCCAAAAUUCAGAGCAGCAAAACAAGGAAUCCAGUAUUCUCACAGACACAUAACAUUAUAAAAGAGAACCCAUACCCAUGUAGAGUUUAUAUCCUUGUUCCCACUAAGAUGUGGACACAUCUUCUUGAAUGCUGAAAUACCAAUGUUUACUUUAAUAGGUUACACACAAUGACUUCAGGAUUCUUCACCUUGCCACUAUUCAUGAGAAGUAGCACUUGUGGGAGGGUUUUGAUUUUUCAAAAAAACUUUCUAGGUUUUGCUUUCUGGACCUCUGACUUUAGGGACAUCUGUUGGACUUAUGUUGAGUGUAGGUGGCCUCUGCACAAUAAGUUUAUUGAAAUUCCAAAUCUAUACUUUCAAUUUUUUCACUUUAAGCACUUAAUAGGUAUCUUUACCAAUUAAUACUUGCUGAAAACUGCCCAGCUCCUAAGGAGAAAAGCAGAUCCUAUUUUUUGUUUCAUUUCUGAAUGCAGUAGGAGAAUUUGGCUUAAUUCCUAAAAUAGGAUUGGAGGAAAUCUACUGGGUCCCUUGUGGGUACCCAUCCAGAAAAAGAUCCCAGGACAGGCCACAGUCCCCAGUCACUGGGCUUGGGUUUUGCCAUUGAAGAAUAUGGGGGGUUGGGGCCAGAAGGGGUGACUGGGGCCAAUAUGGAAUUGUGCCCAGGAUAAACUUAUUUCACCUUACUUCACCCAUUGGUGCAAUUUUGGAGACUGUUCUGGAAAUCAUAGAUUAUGUAAAUUUCCUGGGAUCAAACAGAAAGAGCAACUAACAAAAGAAAGGCGGAAAUCUCCUACUGACAAAGGACCAAUUUCUUCCCUAAACUACCGUUUAUGAUGUGUCAGGAAAAACAACCUAAUGGCUCUGGGGACUUUUAAGUUGGGCACUGAAGACACCUCAAUUUCCCCCAAAACUUUAGAGCACAGUUUGGAACAGAGAAUUCGCCUGUAUGUUGAGGGGGAGUGAAUUUCUCCAAUCUUAAUGUUAUCCAGGGGGCCGCCUAAGUUGCCUUCUGAGGGUCCUGUGCGUAGAUGUUUUUAAUUCUACAAAGAAGGAGAGGAACAGGAAAGAAGAGAGGGAGAAGAAAGGCAAAGCGGAAGAAAAGAAAGCGCUUUAACCCCUUUCAAUUAGCCUGGGGAUUCAAAGACUAAAGUUAAAUCCGGCCAUAAAGUUUAUUGCUUCAGACUCACAAGCGGCUGAGAACAGUCCCGCCGAAAUAAAAAGAACAUGCAGGCAAACAGGGUUCAGGGCCUGGUCCCGGGUGCGGGGGAGGGGGUCCUGAACACCCCCCCACACCAGGGUGGGGAUCCUUGGUCCUCAGGGUCCAGUGGGCGCUAGCAGCCCAGGAUCCACCUUGCAACCCGGGGGCCCAGCCUGGAGGUGCAGCCCCAGCCUCGCCGGCCUCUGCCACCCUCCCGCUCUCGCGAGCUAGCCUGAAACCCGGCCCCGAAGGCCGCCGCCUCAAUUCAGCCCUGCCAAAUGACCCCGGCCCGCGAAGACAUAUUGCCACAGCCCCGUAAGGAAUCCCGCCAGAG
rnacentral:lncRNA from 1 species